rnacentral:rRNA from 1 species
UACGUAGGGUGCGAGCGUUACUCGGAAUUACUGGGCGUAAAGCGUGCGCAGGCGGUUCGCCAAGUCAGGUGUGAAAUCCCUGGGCUUAACCUGGGAACUGCAGUCGAUACUGGCGGACUAGAGUACGGUAGAGGGUGGCGGAACUCCGGGUGUAGCGGUGAAAUGCGUAGAUAUCCGGAAGAACACCGAUGGCGAAGGCAACCACCUGGGCCUGUACUGACGCUGAGGUACGAAAGCGUGGGGAGCAAACAGG